UACGUAGGGUGCAAGCGUUGUCCGGAAUUAUUGGGCGUAAAGAGCUCGUAGGCGGCUUGUCGCGUCGGCUGUGAAAACCUGGGGCUCAACCCCGGGCCUGCAGACGAUACGGGCAAGCUAGAAUUCGGUAGGGGAGACUGGAAUUCCUGGUGUAGCGGUGAAAUGCGCAGAUAUCAGGAGGAACACCGAUGGCGAAGGCAGAUCUCUGGGCCGUAACUGACGCUGAGGAGCGAAAGCAUGGGGAGCGAACAGG
rnacentral:rRNA from 1 species